GGCCAGAUAGCUCAGUCGGUAGAGCAGGGGACUGAAAAUCCCCGUGUCGGGAGUUCGAAUCUCUCUCUGGCCA
rnacentral:tRNA from 1 species